CCGGCCAAAGCAAGAACAAAGGAAGAAAAGAAAGAACAAGAACCCUAGGGUGAAAAUUUAAGAGAAAAUUGAUGGAUUUCAAGUAAUAAAACAAUCAAAGGUAAAAUUUCUUGAUUUUGGCUUAUGAUCUACCUUUCCCAUACAUUCUUUUGCAUUUUUCAUGGUUGAAUCACAUGAUUUCCUGAUGGGUAUCUUGCUGGCUGAACACAUAGAGAGAGGUUUUGAUGCUUGAUUUAGUUAGAUUUCAAUGUAUUUUAGUGGUUUUAGUUGAUUGGUGAUGUGUAGCAUGAAAAUCAAGCAAGAAAAAUUCAUGUUCUUCCAUCACCCAUCAUUGGCCGAAUUCUCCAUGUGGAAUAUUAAGGAUGAUUUUGAUUUUAUUUCAAGUGAUUCGGUUAGGAAUUAGUGAUUUAUGGUGUGAGAAUCAAGUAGGAAAAAUUAUAGUGUUGAUGCACCCACCAAGGCCGAAUUUUCCAAAAGAAAAUGUGAGGAUGAUUUUGUCAUAUUUCAAGUCAUUUAAUUUGUGUUUGAUGAUUUAGAGAAUUGGAAGAAAAAUGGAAUUAUUUGGAGUUAAAUUGGACAUAUUGGCCAAUUAAUCGAGUGAUAGAUCGAAUUAGGCCAAUAUCGUUUUAUUUAGGUGCACAAUUGAAUUUGUGUAGAACACUGUGUUUAGACGAUAAUCCGAACAAUUUACAUCCCAUUUCAUGCAUUAGUAUAAAGCCUGAAUUGGUUUUAUAACAAUUUAGCACAAAUGUAGUAAAUGGCUUAUUGUGUAUUAUGUCUAGGUGGUGAGCAUUUUGGCAAAAGUAAAGAGAUAGUACCCGAGGAUCAAGAAUCGGAGUACUCAAAAUUCGACUCCCAAAAUAGUGAGUAACCUUACUAUCGUUUUAAUUAUCUAAAGUGGUUUUUAUCUGAUUUUGUGAUUUUAUGAAAAAUGUGUUUAAAUAGUAAAUCUUUAUGUUUUAUAAACAAAAUGUGUUUAAAUGGAAUGAUUUUAUAAAUUGUCUUGAAAUUGAAUGAUGCCUUCGAAAAUAGAGCAAUUGGAGACCAUUUGAUGUAUUGUGAAUUUAUGGUUCUAAUUGAUUGGCUUAUGGCAAUAUUGGCAUGAAUGGCUGAAUUGGUAUUUGUGUUGAAAAUGUAUAAACUGUUGUUUGCCUUGAUAGGCUGGAUAAUGAUAAAAUUGUCAUGUCAUGCUAUUUAAUUUUAUUGAAUUUGUGGGUUAUUGAUUAGUCACUGCAGUGGACAGGUUCCGCGGACUAGCUUAUUAGAGGGGACACGGUAACCUUAUUAUAUUCAUACCUCAGUAUGAGAGGCGAGGUUGGAUAACUCUUGAGGUUCACACUUUAGAGUUCACUUCAUGCCAAACCACCACGUGAGGGUGAACUCAGCCAACGCCAAGGAACGACUAUGUUUUCAAAAUAAAAACAUGAUUUUUGCGUACAUAACUUUUUAUUAGCCUUGGCGGACUCGGUUGGGAUAACCUUCGGCCAAGGUAUCCCUGAUAACUGAGUAUGAGAAUGAUUUUGGCAUGAGCCAAAGUUUUAAGAAAUUCAUAAGCCAUGUUGAUUACUCGAUUUAUAUGAAUUGAUUUUAUUUGGUUGAAAUGAGUUGAAAGGUGAUGAAUUAUAGUAUGUUAAACUAUUUUAUUUGUCUCCAUUUACUCAACUUUAGAUAUUUUAAAUGAUAUUUGUUUACUCACUGGGAUUAUAUAAUCUCACCACCCUCCUUUCCACCCAUUUCAGGCUCAAGAUAGUCGGUAAAUAGCUCACUUUGUUGAAGGCUACAGUUGGACUUACAUCCUAAAAAAUUGUAGGUUUAUUGCUUUUAAUACUUUUGGUCGUUCGUGGGCCCAUAUGUCAUUGUAAAUUAAAUUUUAUACUUUGGUUAUCUGUAUUACAGUAUGUAUGAAUUUAUUUAACUUUUACGCUACAAAAAUUAUUUAUCGGGAA
rnacentral:lncRNA from 1 species